rnacentral:rRNA from 1 species
CCUCUUGAGAACCUAAUAUAAGAGGUCUGGCCUGCCCAGUGACUAUAUGUUCAACGGCCGCGGUAUUUUGACCGUGCAAAGGUAGCGUAAUCAUUUGUCUUUUAAAUGAAGACCGGUAUGAAUGGCAAGACGAGGGCUAAACUGUCUCCUUUUUCAAGUCAGUGAAAUUGAUCUCUCCGUGCAGAAGCGGAGAUAGCACCAUAAGACGAGAAGACCCUGUGGAGCUUUAGGCGACGGAACAGAUCAUGUCCAACAUACCUAUAUAAAGGACUAAACUUAAUGAAAACUAUCCCCAUGCCUUCGGUUGGGGCGACCAUGGAGUAACAAGUAUCCUCCAAGUGAGAGGGAGCACUAUAAUACUCUUACCCCUUACAUAAUAUUUUAUUCUACACAACCUCCCGAAACUAAGAGCUACAACUCUAGUUAACAGUACAUCUGACCUAAAUUGAUCCGGCAAUGCCGACUAACGAACCAAGUUACCCCAGGGAUAACAGCGCAAUCCUCUUCUAGAGCCCAUAUCGACAAGAGGGUUUACGACCUCGAUGUUGGAUCAGGACAUCCUAAUGGUGCAACCGCUAUGAG